UUCACACAUCCGAUCAUCG
rnacentral:misc_RNA from 1 species